GCAGGUUCAGCAGUACAUAUACUAAAAUCGGAACAAUACGGAGAAGAGUAGCAUGGCCCUUGCGCAAGGAUGACGCGCAAAAAAUAAUAAUAAAAAAAAUCAGGU